AUGAUUAGAUACCCUGGUAGUCCACGCCGUAAACGAUGUCUACUAGCCGUUGGGACUCUUGAAGUCUUAGUGGCGCAGCUAACGCACUAAGUAGACCGCCUGGGGAGUACGGCCGCAAGGUUAAAACUCAAAUGAAUUGACGGGGGCCCGCACAAGCGGUGGAGCAUGUGGUUUAAUUCGACGCAACGCGAAGAACCUUACCUGGCCUUGACAUGCAGAGAACUUUCCAGAGAUGGAUUGGUG
rnacentral:rRNA from 1 species